CAGGAGGGGUCACUGUAGGCACUGCGGGCACUGUCGGCCCAGGAGGGGUCACUGCGGGCACUGUGGGCACCGCCCGGGCGAGCUCCAGCAGCCGGGCCCCGGACCGGCUGCCGUGACCGUCGGGGGGAGCUGCCCUGGGCUACACCUCCCUCCCUGCCCUUCCCGGCAAAGCCAUGUUUCCUGAGGGUCUCAGAGAGAAUGGAGAAGGCCAACAGCGUGGCAUGUGAGAGGAGAGACAAGCCAUGGAAAGUGGUCCUGGUCCUCUCAGCAGAUGAACUUGCUAGGCCCACCCUAAUGCUCUGGGGUUGUCUCCUGCCUGAUGGACUGCCACCAAAGCUCUAAAGCCCUCUCACACAAAGGCGCCACGGGACUCCCACCCUCGACAUGAGCGCUCUGCCUGCCUCUGGCGCUGCCUGUCAGACCCGCUUCAGCUGGAAUCAAGGUAAAGAAUCAGCAGCACUAAAUACUGCAGGACAAAGGCAUAAACCAGCUUUGUAACCCUGGGCAACCUGGGUGUUUGCUGACUGACAGUGUGAAUGACAGCCCAGUUGUCGCUCUGAAAUACCGUCUUCUAAUCAUUCCAGAUGUCACCCGACAAGAUGAUGGCUACUAAAAAGGGAAUAAUUUGGGAAAAGUCAUAAAGCCUAUUAUCUCCUGCUGAAACAAUUUCUCUUUGCCAUUUCUGAAGUCUCUGCAAAAUAGAUCCAGAAUAUCCCAUAUGUAGCAUGCCAGUGGUUUAUUAGGAGAGGGUGUCCACUUAGAACUGCACUGGGUACCCCAUGACAUUCCUGGAGAAAGCCACCCCUGAGCUGUGCCACUUCUUCAUGUCUUGGCAGGUGACUCCAAUCUGGCCAUACAGUGGAGUUGAAAUAUUUCACCUGUUCCAAAACACAACAGGCAGCAAAAGGCUAUCAUAGUACACACAGCCUGACAAAUCAGAGAGAGGAUGGAGAUGAUCACAAAGCAGCAGAGUGCAGUUUCUGGGUAGAAUUCUUAUCAUUAUCUUUUCUCCUUAACAAAUAAAGAAACAUCUGAAAAUAUUGUUAGGGCCUUU
rnacentral:lncRNA from 1 species